rnacentral:rRNA from 1 species
GACGAACGCUGGCGGCGUGCUUAACACAUGCAAGUCGAACAAUGAACCCGGAGCUUGCUCCGGCGGAUUAGUGGCGAACGGGUGAGUAACACGUGAGUAACCUGCCCUUGACUCUGGGAUAACUGCGGGAAACUGUAGCUAAUACCGGAUACGACCCUCGGCGGCAUCGCCAGGGGGUGGAAAGAAUUUCGGUCAAGGAUGGACUCGCGGCCUAUCAGCUAGUUGGUGAGGUAACGGCUCACCAAGGCGACGACGGGUAGCCGGCCUGAGAGGGUGAACGGCCACACUGGGACUGAGAAACUGGCCAGACUUCUACGGGAGGCAGCAGGGGGGAAUAUUGCACAAUGGGCGCAAGCCUGAUGCAGCAACGCCGCGUGAGGGAUGACGGCCUUCGGGUUGUAAACCUCUUUUAGUAGGGAAGAAGCGAAAGUGACGGUACCUGCAGAAAAAGCACCGGCUAACUACGUGCCAGCAGCCGCAGUAA